rnacentral:rRNA from 1 species
AUUGAACGCUGGCGGCAGGCCUAACACAUGCAAGUCGAGCGGAUGAGGGGAGCUUGCUCCUGGAUUCAGCGGCGGACGGGUGAGUAAUGCCUAGGAAUCUGCCUGGUAGUGGGGGAUAACGUCCGGAAACGGGCGCUAAUACCGCAUACGUCCUGAGGGAGAAAGUGGGGGAUCUUCGGACCUCACGCUAUCAGAUGAGCCUAGGUCGGAUUAGCUAGUUGGUGGGGUAAAGGCCUACCAAGGCGACGAUCCGUAACUGGUCUGAGAGGAUGAUCAGUCACACUGGAACUGAGACACGGUCCAGACUCCUACGGGAGGGAGCAGUGGGGAAUAUUGGACAAUUGGCGGAAGCCUGAUCCAGCCAUGCCGCGUGUGUGAAGAAGGUCUUCGGAUUGUAAAGCACUUUAAGUUGGGAGGAAGGGCAGUAAGUUAAUACCUUGCUGUUUUGACGUUACCAACAGAAUAAGCACCGGCUAACUUCGUG